UGCACUAAUUGGUCUUCUUUGCCUUUAUUAUAAUUUGUUCCGUCAGGUAAAUUGUUUCCCAUUUUCAUUCCGAUAGUGGGAGGUGCGGACUUAGUAGUUUUCUUUUUUAAUAUGCGUUUAUUUGUUAAUUAUAAAUUUUUUAUAAUUUCAAAGUGUUUUGUGUCAAAUAGACGAAAGGAAGUACUUUUAUAAGAAUCUUCAUACUUAGUUGCUUAAGGUGGAAAUAUCAUUAAAUCGUGCAAAACAAAGCCCGUUGAUGGAAAAAUAAAAAUCUACAUAUUUUUUAAAACCAAUGGCACUUUAUAUUAUAGUAUAUUAAGUUUGUAACACCUAGAAGGAAGAUAGCGUUAUUUAGCUGUAUCUCGCGUUGUAUAUGUCCGAUCAGGUUCGGCUGGAUGGCGUUAGAAAGAUGACAUUUCGUACUAAAAAAUUUUUUCCGACAGCCGAGUCCAAACAUCGAUUACAAUUGUCCAGGAUCUAAACAUUGCACAAAAAAUCGUUUGGAACUAUUUUAGUGGUCACAGUUCAAACUUGUGUCUGGACAAUCGGAUGUAUGGUGACAUAUGUUACUUAUAUACCCUUCACAUGUAGUCAAUGAUUGAUUCAGAUAAUUUUACUACCGAGGGACUAGUUUGCUUUCAAGCUCACGGCCAAACAGCUUACAAAUAUAAGGCCAAAGCAUAAGACAAUCGCGAAGUUGGUGAACGACAUUUUGAGAGCUUAAUAGGUACCUACCAGGGGCGUCACUUUUUAUUAGCUCGAAAGCCACCGAAUGUACUCCGUUAUUUAGGAAAGCGCCGAUAGCAGAUAGAUAUCUGUACAACAUACUACAAGUAUAUAGAUUAAAAAGCAACAAAUUUGAAUGAAACAACUAGUUCGUCUCAUCGUCUCUAUAUUUUUGCAUUUCUGAGGCAGGAGGUCACGAGUAAUACAAAGACAAUAAUAUUGAAAUGAUAUGCAAGAUAACAAAAUUUAGAAUUUAUGAAUAAAUAAACAUACUUAUGAGAAUAACCGUAAAAAAAUUUCUAAUGAAUUAUCUGAUUUCUAAAUAAAUAUUCCUAAAAAAAAAUACAUAACAAAGCUUUAAGUAAACGUCGAGUUGAUUUUUUGCGAAUUUUUAGUUUUGGAUGUGAAUAUAGCUUGGCCUUGAAUUAAUAAACGCGAAAACAGGAUUUUCUCUAUUUUUGCAAAUUGCUUAAUAUUUUUAUUUUAGCUGAGCUAUUUGAAGUUGGUGAUGGUGUGUAUCGGAUAUUUAUUCUAUGGCGUCGUUAAUUCAACUUAUUUUGCAUUAACUCAGAUUCAUGUGAAGGUCAUCGCUUUUUUAUAUAUUCUAUGCACUUUAAUGUAGUUAUUUGGAUUAAAACCUGAAAAACUGUGAUAUUAUGCACAAUUACCAGCACACUUGAAUAUUUAGUUAAAAAACCAGAGAUUUUGAUUGAUUUUUCAUUAUAAAUUAUCCACGAAUCAUCAUCGGAGUUCUAAUUCCAGUAUAAAAACGGAGCUGAAGAGAAAUUCUAUAGUUUGUUUAUACAAGUCCGAUCCAAGAUACAGUAGAUUGGAAGUAGCAGAUAAGCUUUAUCAUCAACAGAUUUAAUAGUAGGUGAAUGGAUUAAGUGCGUUAAUAACACUAAUAAUAUCAUACUUUUGAGUAUAACCCGAGAUGAUCUGAUAACAUUGAGGCGCACACCAUAAAUUGAGAGUUGCUUGGAACGAUAUCUGAAUGAUAAAAAAUACUUUAUUUCGUAAGAGAACUAUUGGAUGCUUAACAGUUUUGUACAGUGGAAUUACUUUUUUUAUGAUGCCCAUAUUUUAUGGGUCGGAUAUUUUUUCCUAUUUUCUGAAUGCUUUAAAGCUGCCUUAAAGAUCAUAUCUGCAAUUAUCAUAUCUUCCAGUUGCUUAACAUAUUAUAUGCUCCAAUAUGAAUUGAGGCUCUAAACAUGAAAUCUUAUUCAAGAGCAAUAACCACAGCGCAUCGGCGAUAUAUUAGUUCUUUCCAGACUAUAUCAACCGACACUGCUCAAGUAUAAGCCGAGAUGCUGCCUAUUGACCUCCAGAGGGAAAAACUAGAACAUUUAUAUCAGCUAUCAGCGCCAAAAACAGUAUUGACAAAUACAAAGGAAAGGAACUAGAGGUCUAAAAUGUGGCAGCAGCGUUGGCAAUGCUAAUCCAAAGGACAGAGGACCCACAGACUGAUACCAGACAUACAAUCGUGGAUAGGCAGACAACUUGGUAACCUGGAUUUCGAUCUGACCCAAAUACUGAGUGUAAAUGGGUGCUUUAGAAGCUAACUCUACAGAUGUCAUCAUGACAUUAGUCCGAAAUAUCCGGCGUGUCCAGUGUACAGAAUGCAUAUGUACAAGACUCUGAAUAUGUAUGUACUAUUUAUUCUUUUAUUGCCUUCACUUUUUAAAUACAAGGGAGAAACUAGAAACUAUUGUAGACUGGGCGUCCGUUAGUUCUCAUAAUAGAGGAGACCUAAAAGUCUUGUCACUCUCUUGUGAGAUUCUUGAGUUGGGUGCAAUUAGUCUUGGCGGAUUAAAGUUCCGCACUCUGGCUUUCGAUGAUAUCACUUACAAUAUAAAAAGUAUGCUGAACAUAACCUCAAUUUUUCAAGGUCUUAACUGGUGAAAAGAAGAGUAAUAAAAUAUAAUUUAUAAUGUAAGUUUUUACUGAUUUCACUUUUUUGCUUAUGCUUUUCAAAAGUGUUCCUAACAAUUUUUGCAUUUGAAAAUAUACAAGUGUUCGGAUACAGGCUGUAUUAUUAUAUCGUAUCAUUAUGCAUAUCUGUGGAUCACUUCACAGACCAGUUAUGCAAAACCAAUCAGCAGUACUAAAGGCAAACGCUUUGUGCGCAAAAAAAGUAGCGACAGCCCGUCAAAACAAAGAAGUGGAGGAAACAGCAAGAAGCGUUAAUUAGUCGGCAGAAUCUAAACCGUUGGAUUUGUGCGUUGUGCAGAGCGGUGCGCGUGCCGCUGGAAGUUCAAGAAACUCUUUAGCCAAAAUAAAGGUCAGCAGCUAGUCAAAUGCGGUUUGCAGUUGUUGUUGCAUUAAUUGCAUUAAUUAUUUACGUCAUUACGUGGCUUUUUGUUAAUUUUUGCUUAACAUAUUUUAUAAUUAUUGAUUUUUUGGUUGAUUUUUGUUUGCUUCUGGCUUAGCAGCGCUUUUAAGUUUAGUGAUUUUGUGCAGCGAGUCACAGAGUAUUCUCGUAUACCGCUGAACCACCACCACUAUAGAACACCUUCUAUACUUUUUCAUGAACGAGUGUUUGAAGGCACAGAUAUUAAUUUUAAAAUUAUUACUGUAAAUUCAUAUGAGACUCACACACCG